AACGAACGCUGGCGGCAUGCCUAACACAUGCAAGUCGAACGAUGCCUUCGGGCAUAGUGGCGCACGGGUGCGUAACGCGUGGGAAUCUGCCCUUGGCUUCGGAAUAACAGUUAGAAAUGACUGCUAAUACCGGAUGAUGUCCCCCUGAGAGAUCUUGGGGACCAAAGAUUUAUCGGCCAGGGAUGAGCCCGCGUAGGAUUAGGUAGUUGGUGGGGUAAAGGCCUACCAAGCCGACGAUCCUUAGCUGGUCUGAGAGGAUGAUCAGCCACACUGGGACUGAGACACGGCCCAGACUCCUACGGGAGGCAGCAGUGGGGAAUAUUGGACAAUGGGGGGAACCCUGAUCCAGCAAUGCCGCGUGAGUGAUGAAGGCCUUAGGGUUGUAAAGCUCUUUUACCAGGGAUGAUAAUGACAGUACCUGGAGAAUAAGCCCCGGCUAACUCCGUG
rnacentral:rRNA from 1 species